GUUAAUAUAGUUUCAAACCAAACAUUAGACUGGGGCUCUAAAAAUAGGGA
rnacentral:tRNA from 1 species